CCUGGUCUCUCGGAAGGUAAAGAAUCUGCCUGCAAUGCAGGAGACCUGGGUUCAAUCCCAGGGUCGGGA
rnacentral:tRNA from 1 species